AAUAUACUCCCUCCAUCCCAAAAUUCUUGUCUUAAAUUUGUCUAGAUACGGAUGUAUCAAGUCACGUUUUAGUAUUAGAUACAUCCUUAUCUAGACAAAUCUAAGACAAGAAUUUUGGGACGGAGGGAGUAUAAC
rnacentral:pre_miRNA from 1 species